UAGCUAAAUCAAUAGGUUAUAUAAAAGUCUCGUGACUUGUAAUCAGGGGGUCGCGAGUUCGAUUCCUGCCGCCG
rnacentral:tRNA from 1 species